GGGGCUGUCUAGGUCUCGACAGGUGAGGAGGAACUUUAAGAGCAGCGGAUUGGUCACCUAAUGACCUUACACAAACACAAGUGCCAAGAAAAACGUGUCAUUCUUCCGUCAGCCCUCUUUCCAAAUGGCUGCUGCUUACUAAUCUAGAAUUAGUUACCAGUUUUGCCUAGGCAUUAGUUCCUAGGCCACGGACGUGUCUUGAAGAACUCGGUGAGUUUUCUUCUUGUACGCGUAAACAGAUUCACCUUAUCUUUAUACUUUUUCUUGCCAGUAGAAAGACGGACACAAAGACAGGGAGUCGAGUUUCCUUGGUCGACUGACACCAUGAGAUUCGACUGACAAGUCAGCCUAAGCUGUAGUGCUUGAAGCGGGGCCUCAUUUGGACAGGGGUUCGAUUCCCCUCAGCUCCACCA
ensembl:misc_RNA tmRNA transfer-messenger RNA